rnacentral:tRNA from 1 species
CCCUGUAGCUCAGUUGGUAGAGCAUGGUGUUUGCAACACCAGGGUUGUGGGUUCGCUUCCCACAGGGG